GAUGAACGCUGGCGGCGUGCCUAAUACAUGCAAGUCGAGCGAACAGACGAGGAGCUUGCUCCUCUGACGUUAGCGGCGGACGGGUGAGUAACACGUGGAUAACCUACCUAUAAGACUGGGAUAACUUCGGGAAACCGGAGCUAAUACCGGAUAAUAUAUUGAACCGCAUGGUUCAAUAGUGAAAGACGGUUUUGCUGUCACUUAUAGAUGGAUCCGCGCCGCAUUAGCUAGUUGGUAAGGUAACGGCUUACCAAGGCAACGAUGCGUAGCCGACCUGAGAGGGUGAUCGGCCACACUGGAACUGAGACACGGUCCAGACUCCUACGGGAGGCAGCAGUAGGGAAUCUUCCGCAAUGGGCGAAAGCCUGACGGAGAAACGCCGCGUGAGGGAUGAAGGUCCUCGGAUCGUAAAACUCUGUUAUUAGGGAAGAACAAAUGUGUAAGUAACUAUGCACGUCUUGACGGUACCUAAUCAGAAAGCCACGGCUAACUACGUG
rnacentral:rRNA from 1 species